rnacentral:rRNA from 1 species
UGGGGAAUAUUGGACAAUGGGCGAAAGCCUGAUCCAGCCAUGCCGCGUGAGUGACGAAGGCCUUAGGGUUGUAAAACUCUUUCGUCGGGGACGAUAAUGACGGUACCCGAAGAAGAAGCUCCGGCUAACUUCGUGCCAGCAGCCGCGGUAAUACGAAGGGAGCUAGCGUUGUUCGGAAUCACUGGGCGUAAAGCGCACGUAGGCGGAUAGUUAAGUCAGGGGUGAAAUCCUGGGGCUCAACCCCAGAACUGCCUUUGAUACUGGCUGGUCUCGAGGUCGAGAGAGGUUGGUGGAAUUCCUAGUGUAGAGGUGAAAUUCGUAGAUAUUAGGAAGAACACCAGUGGCGAAGGCGGCCAACUGGCUCGAUACUGACGCUGAGGUGCGAAAGCGUGGGGAGCAAACAGGAUUAGAUACCCACGUAGUCCCUGAG